rnacentral:lncRNA from 1 species
GGGGGCGAGUGGGGGUGCUGCUGUGAAGACAGAUGAGGAUAAAGGCUUUUGAUGCCAGAAGAGAAAACGCCCUGAGCAGCGAAUGCUUUUAUUUCCUCAGCAGAGACAGGAGGGGGUGCUCAGAUCCCCAAGGCUGCGCACCGUUCCUAGCUUUGCCUGCUUCUGCCUCUCUUGCCUGGAAUAUACUGGAGGCACGAGUGUGGUUUUAUUUGUGUGGAGGGGGGGUAUUUGGAGGAGGCCCAACAGCCAAGCUGAGCCCACUCGGCUCCACGGACGAUCCGAGGGGGGCGAAGCCUGCCCUGGAAGGCCAAGUGAGCUCCUCAGUGCGGGGCCGUCUCCAGAAAACAGUCUUCAGUGUGUAUUUCCUUUUAUCGUCCACCCGGAGCCCCACGGCAGCUAAUGCUAGAGGCCAAAAAUGUUUUGGAGGAAGAAAAACAAAGGCAGGAAGUGGCGGCAGCCUGACGGUGCGUGUGUGUCUGCGGAGACGAAGGGAGGGAGCUGUUUCAAUCUCUUCUUGUUUUUCCAAACUUGAAGGUCUAGGCUGCCCUCGAAGAGCCGGCCCUCGCUCCCCGGCGCAGCGUUUGGAGAUGGCCACCCGGAGAGGAGCAGGCUGGCGCCCGAGCCAGCCUUGUCAGGCGGAAACGGCUAACGAGGCGAUUUGCUCAGCAAAGCAGACCAAGCCAUUCUCAACUUCGUUUGAUUUGGCCCUAAAAGUGGGGGGUUGGGGGAUUCUGCAGCGUCUCCUGGACCCUCCUCUGCGGGCAGGCUGAGUGCGCCUUGGCGGAGAUUGGUGAGCCCUGCGAGCCAUGCUCCAUGCACCCUUCCAGGCAGGAUAUCAUAUCGGAAUAAAGUGUGUCCAGGUGCCUCUGCCCA